rnacentral:rRNA from 1 species
GUCGAGCGAAGUGCUUAGGAUGAUCUAUUCGUAGUGACUCCUAAGUAUCUUAGCGGCGGACGGGUGAGUAACGCGUGAGAAACCUGCCUUUCACAAAGGAAUAGCCUCGGGAAACUGGGAUUAAUACCUUAUGAUACCUAAGCUCCACAUGGAGCCUAGGUUAAAGCGUAAAGCGGUGAAAGAUGGUCUCGCGUCCCAUUAGUUAGUUGGUGAGGUAAAGGCUCACCAAGACCAUGAUGGGUAACCGGCCUGAGAGGGUGAACGGUCACACUGGAACUGAGACACGGUCCAGACUCCUACGGGAGGCAGCAGUGGGGAAUAUUGCACAAUGGAGGAAACUCUGAUGCAGCGACGCCGCGUGAAUGAUGAAGGUCUUCGGAUCGUAAAAUUCUGUCCUAGGGGACGAUAAUGACGGUACCCUAGGAGGAAGCCCCGGCUAACUAUGUGCCAGCAGCCGCGGUAAUACAUAGGGGGCAAGCGUUGUCCGGAUUUAUUGGGCGUAAAGGGUACGCAGGCGGUCCUUUAAGUCAGAUGUGAAAUCUUACGGCUCAACCGUAAUUAGCAUUUGAAACUGGAGGACUUGAGUUAAGGAGAGGAAAGUGGAAUUCCUAGUGUAGCGGUGAAAUGCGUAGAUAUUAGGAGGAAUACCAGUGGCGAAGGCGACUUUCUGGACUUAUACUGACGCUGAGGUACGAAAGCGUGGGGAGCAAACAGGAUUAGAUACCCUGGUAGUCCACGCUGUAAACGAUGAGAAAGAGGUGUCGGGGGUCAAACCUCGGUGCCGGAGUUAACGCAUUAAGCACUCCGCUCUGGGGAGAACG